UCAACUCUCAGGGAUCCACGACCACAGAGCGGCAGCCAGUCAAAGCAACCGCGUCCACUUGGCGUGCAAAGCAGUGGGCGGGCACAGCCCCCCGUGAUUGCAGCCUGCAAGCCUGAGGAUUGGACACACUGCAGAGACUCUCUCCCUUGGAACGAAAUGAAGCCGAAAAGUAGGAUAUGAUGUCACAACGGCAGUUUCACAACAGACAGGGGAAGAUAGUCAAACCAACACUGUACGGGCCCCUCUCAAGGCAGAGGAUGUGAAGGCCUGCUGGUCUGGAAGGACCUGCUGCUCAAGAGGGCCAGGCAGUUGGUUCAACAGAGGGGCCUCCGCCGGGGUCUGCCAGGACCUCCUCAGAGGCCAGCCUGCCUCUGUCCAAGGCCUGCAAGUGUGUUUUGAAUCUCACGGUUCUGUAACCAGAAGAAGCGACUGUUUUUAACUCUUCCUUCCUCGUACUUCUGC